UUAUCUUGGGGACAAAUUUUGGAUUCAAUUGGCGAUUGUUUUUGGAGGUAUUCACUUCCCAUUGUGUUCAAGAUGGUUACUUCCGCCCACUCUGAAGAGUCUCGGCGUCUGAUUGGUCCAAUUUUCAGUUAGGCGCUGCCUGAUUGGCCAGUGGAUGAUGUCGGAUCCUAACAGAGGGCUAAAUCACUAGUUAACUAUUUUCAUCAUGGAAGUUAUACAGCUCACGUAUCACACUUAAUAUUGAAUAUAUAUAUAAAAAGGGUUUUCCAAAAGGACCAUUUAUAAUCGAAAUACAAAACUUCACACACGAUUUUGAGCACAACAGAGCGCUCAGUGAACAUCACUUCCGGGACCUGCAUCACCGGAGGGGGACAUCUAUCUUGGCCACAAACCAUCUUUGACAGUCUUCAGCAGCAUGGUUGAAUCAGGCGCAUCAACACAUGAUAUAGACAUCGUGCCCAAAAGAAGAGCGAGACGUAAUCCUGAGGCUGAAGCCACCGAGUUUAUUUGAUCUGGAUGUGACAAGUCUUGUUUUAAGGCCCAGUGGAUCAAUGAUUGGAAAGACACCAACUGUUGAUGUUCUAUCUCAACAUUCUCCAGAUUCAUGUGACCGAUAAACCGACUUCAUCCCUCCAACAGACACCAACUGUUGGGGUUCUAUCUCAACAUUCUCCAGAUUCAGAUGUGAGCGAUAAACCGACUUCAUCCCUCCAACAGAAACCAACUGUUGAGGUUCCAUCUCAACAUUCUCCAGAUUCAGAUGUGAGCCAUUAACUGACUUCAUCCCUCCAACAG